AAUGAACGUUGGCGGCAUGGAUUAGGCAUGCAAGUCGAGCGCGAAACGUAGCAAUACGUGGAGAGCGGCGAAAGGGAGAGGAAUAUGUGGGAACCUACCUUCGGGCCUGGAAUAGCGGCGGGAAACUGCCGGUAAUGCCAGAUAACGUCCCCGGACCAAAGGUGUGAUUCCGCCUGGAGAUGGGCCCACAUCCUAUCAGCUUGUUGGUGUGGUAACGGCGCACCAAGGCUAAGACGGGUAUGGGGUGUGAGAGCAUGCCCCCACUCACUGGGACUGAGACACUGCCCAGACACCUACGGGUGGCUGCAGUCGAGAAUCUGCGGCAAUGAGCGAAAGCUUGACCGGGCGAUGCCGCGUGCGGGAUGAAGGCGCUCGGGUUGUAAACCGCUGUCGUAGGGGAAUAACGGUCGGUGGGUUCGCCCAGCGAUUUGAAUGAUCCUAGGAGGAAGGACGGGCUAAGUUCGUG
rnacentral:rRNA from 1 species